AGGGCUCAAUAGGAGUGGUAGGAGUGUCGGGAAAAUAGUGGAAAUAGAUAUACUCCACUUAAAAGGCCGAAGAAGAUGGACUCAACAAAAGUCAUAUCCCGAGAAAUAGGCAUCCGACGACCAACAUGAUCCCAACAAUGAUAUCCCUUAUGCUCAUCGUUGUAUCCUCUAAGAAGACACUCAACAGACUGGCAAGUCGGUUUGGUGCAUUCACGAGGGGCAAGAAGGACAUAGCAAACACAACCAAACAAUUGAAGCGCCGAAUAAACGAUCAUAUAGAUGCUCGAAAGGAGCGUCACCCUGCAGAGCAGUGGAUUGCUAAAGGUUGAUGAGAUAGAUGGAAGUGGAGACAAACUCGACCCAAAAGUGCGACGGAAGAUAUGCGGUGACCAUAACGGACGAGUCGUCUCAAGAAGGUGACAAUGCUUGCGCUCAGCCACGCCAUUUUGAGCAUGAGCACCAGAAUAAGAGAACCAAAGUCUGCUCAAAAAGGAUUCCACCAGAGUCUUCAUAGAACACUCGAAUAGGUUGAUGAGAGAUAACAAGUGAUCCAAGGGGAUGAUGCCAAUCCUGAAAAUAAAUGGUAGACAAGGCAACAGAGGCAGAGACUCUGGCGAUGGUGGCAGCAGAGGGACUUGAUCCAGCAUCCCACGUGCCUAUGCACUCUUCGUACCCCAUCGAUCCGGCUUGGAGUUCUUUUCCUGUUUGCGGGUUGUGGGUCACGCACUUGAUUAAGCACCCCAGGUUCUCCUACUGCUCCCUUGGCCUCGACUUUAGGUAGCGCCUGUCCUCGGCUCGUCCCGUGGAUAAACCAGGUACGCGUCGACUGUCCGAGCUCCUGCUCACCAUUGGUGGUGCUCGAGCAUGCGGUUAUGGUGUCGCACAUAAAGGGAACACGAGAUGUGGGAUUGAGACAGUACUCGUAGCAGCCCGCAGCAAGGCAAAGAAUGCCCAUCCAGACUGGCAGGGAGCAAAGGUGGGCACAAAGGUGGAUGUUAACUUGGAGUCUCAAGAAUGCGCUCAUCAGUAAGAGCAGCACGAGCAAUAAGAUUUUGGAUAUACUUCUCUUAGGAAAUAAGGAGCAAUCGCAAGGAAGUAGCGAAGAGGACCAAGAUUCAGCAGUGACCUUAUCACUAAGAGCAGCACGAGCAAGAAGAUCCUAAAUGUACUUCUCUUGGGAAAUAAAGAAGCCAUCAGAGGUAGAAGAAACCUCAGUUCCAAGUAGUGAAAGGGACCAAGAUCAGACAUUAAAUCUAUUCACUAAGACGAACCUUCAAAAAGGCAGUGCACUCAAAGUUGUUGGUAGUGAUGAUCAUGUCAUUGACAUAUAGGAGCAAAGCUCGACCACGAGCUUAAAGAUGGAUAUAAAGUGCAGGAUGAUGAGCAUUUGGCAAAAACUAUUUGCAGUCAUCGCUGAGACAAAAAACCUCAAACUAUGCACGAGGGCUAAAGGCAUAGAGAGAGUGACAAAUACGGCAGAUCAUGCCAUCAGGGGAAAAUAUCUAUGUGGUGGCUACAUGUAGACCUUCUCAUGCAACUCACCAUUAAGAAAGACAUUGUUGACAUCAAGCUAAGAGAUAGACCAGUGGCGAGCAAAUAUCACAACGAAAAGUGUGCGAAGAGUGGUCAUGUGGGCCAUAUGAGAAAAUGUCUUGUCGUAGUCAUAGCCAUGUUCCUAUUGAAAGCCACAAGUCACAAGACGAGCUUGAGGAGGAAGGGAAAUGAGAUCCCACGUGCCGGUGCGUUCAAAAGCAGCAAUCUCCUCUGCCAUCGCAUGUCGCCGUUUGGGUGAACAUGGUAUCACAGUAAGUUGUAUUGAGAAGAGCAGCGCCAGAACACCCAUAGUGAUCAAUAGGUGGAAGCGGGCAAGCGCAGAAGCUAGGUUGAGCUGGAGGUAGUGCGUUUCCAACAGAAGGAGACAUAGUAGUGGAGGGAGAUGGCUCAUCGAAAGAUGACGCAUCAGAAGAAUCCACAAGAUCCGGACGACUAGUGUAGUAAAGAAGAGGAUGCGGGAGAAUCACUAGGGAAGUGUUAGGGGACGAAUGUGGGGAAGCCACAGGUGAUGAUGACGUGGGGUCUACAACAGUAGUACAGGGAGACACAUUGGAAUGGAUGUAGGAGGGCAAAUCAUGGGUGAUAGGUGUAUCGAAAAAUGUUAGGAAAGAAAUAUCCUCAAUGGAAGAGGCCGAAGGAGAGGAUGGAGGUGGAUAGAAAGGACGAGACUCGUCAAAAGUCACACCAUGAGGAAUGCGCAUUCGCCGAUCGAUAGGAUCCCAACACACGAAGCGCUCAGAGCCAUGAGAACGACCAAACAGACGCUCAAGAGGAAUGUCACCUUGCAAAGCAAGGAAGUCUUACUGUUGACGACGUAGGUGGAAGUAGAAACAACCUCAACCCAAAAGUGAGGUGUUGAUCUUCAAUGCACAAGCCGCCUCAAGAAGUUGACAAUGCUUAUGAUCAGCAAACCAUUCUGAGCAUUUGGACCACGACAUGAGAAUUGAGGAAGUGUGCCCUGCUCAGUAAGGAAUCUGCACAGCAAAUGAUAGAUGAACUCGCAAGCAAAAUCUUCAUGGAAGACACAAUUAGGAGUGGAAAACCCGACAUGAAACAUGGGGGCAAACCUCUUACUGAUAGAUAAAGACCUUACUACAAGAAAAGCAUACAAUAUCCAUGUGUGUCGAGAGAAAACAUCUAUAAAGAUAAUAUAGUGGCGAUGGCCUCUUUUUGAGGCAAAGGGAGCUCGACCACAAACAUCAAAAUGAACAAGAUAGAAAGGACGAGACACAGUCUCGCUAUGAAGAUAAAGUAAUUAAACCUGUUUGCAAAGCCGACAAAUCUGACAGUCUAAAGACACAUCGCUAGAGACAGAUCCAAGAAGACCACUUCGAACUAAGGAUGAGAAACAAGAACCACACAAGUGACAAAGACGAUGAUGCCACAAAGAGACAGUAAACAAAGUAACCGAGGCGGAGAGACUGGCGACGGUGGCAGUAAAGGGAAGGUUAAACCAGUCAAGCUCCUAGAGGACCUGGGAGUUACAACGACGAUGGCCAACACUAACUAAAGCAUCCAUCUAAGGAUCCUAAUAAGAACAAGAUUUAAACUGAAGAAUGACUGUACAACCAAAGUUGACAAUCUGACCACCUAAAAUGAGCUGCAUGGGCCAAGGAAUAUGAGCAAAAGAAUAACAUGAAAAGACGAAGUAGUAAGAAUGCCUCGACUAUCGACUUGGAGGGAAGUUUCGUCAGCAGUAAGAACAUGAACAUGAGAAUCUGAAGGUCGAAUAGCUGACAAACUCGAAGAAUCAUAAACUAUUUGAAAAUGCGACCAGGUCCAAAGAUUCAUAGAGGUGUACUUGGUUGUGUAAAAGUGGUCACUCGGUACUAGAAAAAUCAGUAGCAAAACCUAUUGAUGGAGAACCCAAAGAAUCAGCUAGUAGACAUGGAAGUCGCCUAAUCUCCAGUGUAGUCAUUGUCUCAACUGAAGAGGUUGCCGAAGAAGUAUUGUGCGAUGAAACUAGAAGUAGCAAGUAGGUGUUCUAUUAAAGAUCAAACACCCAAAAGUAUUUCUCGUUCUUCUUUGUUUAGUUUAAUUUGGUUUUUGAUUGCUUUCUUUUGUGUUCCUUUGUUUUUUUUGCUUCCUAUUGUUUUUUGUUUGUUUGUUGUUUGCUUUUAAAAGAAACCCUCCUUUCGUUCUUUUGGUGUUUGAAGUUCUUUCAGAAAACAACAGAAAUAUUUCUUCGUUCUCUUUGCUUUUUCUUUGGAAGUUUAUUUGAUUGCCUCUUCGUUAAAACUUUGGAAAUCUUUUUAUCUUUGCGUUCUUUUUGCCUUUGAGAAAAACCAAAUAUUCUAAAUUAUUUCUGUUGUGUUUCUUUGAGUUCUUUGCAUUUUAUGUUUCAGAAAAUUCAAAAAUAUUUCUCUUUUGUUGUUCUUUUGUUUUCUUUUGGUUGUUCUUUUUGUUUUUUCUUUGUUGUUUUCUUUUUGUUGCUUCUUUCGCCUUUGUGUUUAAAUUGCAAAACCCAAAAUUUCCAAAAAGAUUUUUCGUUUGCAUCUUAUUUAGUCCCAAGUGUUUGUAUUGUUUUUUUUACUUCCUAUUGUUUCUUUUGUUUGUGUGUUGUUUGAUUUUGAAAGAAACCCAAAAAGAUUUCUUUUUUCCUUUCGUUCUUUUGAAAUACUUUGAAAAAACAACAAAGAUAUUUCUUCGUUCUUUUUGCUUUUUCUUUGGAAGUUUAUUUGAUUUCGCCUUUGCUGAAGCUUCGGAAAUCUUUCCUCUCUGCUUUUUGUGUUCUUGUUUGCCUUCUUUUUGAGAAAAGAAAAAAAUCUAAAAAUAUUUAUUAAGUGUUUCUUUGAGUUCUUUUUUGCCUUUUAUGUUUCAAAAAAUCCAAAAAUAUUUCUCUGUUGUUGUUCUUCUCUUUUCCAUUGUUCUCUUUUGGUUGUUCUUUUUGCUUUUCUUUGCUGUUUUCUUUUGGUCGUUUAUUUCGUCUUUGUGUUUAAGUUGCAAAACCCAAACAUUCCAAAAAGAUUUCUCGUUUGCGUCUUAUCGAGUCUUAAUUGUUUUCCGUUGGUUAUUCUUUUUGUCUUUUCUUUGCUGUUUUCUUUUUUUCAUUUCUUUCGUCUAUGAAUGUAAGUUGUAAAACUGAAACAUUCUAGAAAGAUUCUUGUUUGUGUCUUAUUGAGUCUUAGUUGUUUGAAAUGUUUUUUCCUUCCUAUUUUUCUUUUGUUUGUUUGUUGUUUGCUUUUAAAAGAAACCCAAAAUGAUUUCUUUAUCUUAUUAUUAUUCUUUUGAUGUUAUUUGAGGAAACCACAAAAUAUUUUCUCGUUCUUUUUGUUUUUUCUUUGGAUGUUUAUUUGAUUGCCUCUUUGUUGAAACUUUGAAAAUCCUUUAUCUCUGCUUCUCUUUGCCUUCUUUGAGAAAAACCAAAAAUUCCAAAAUCAUCUCUGUGUGUUUCUCUUAGUUCUUCUUUGCCUUUUAUUUUUUAGAAAAUCCAAAAAUAUUUCUCUUUCGUUUAUCUUUUUUUUCUUUGUUUUCUUUUGAUUGUUCUUCUUGGCAUUUUUUUGGUGUUUUCUAUUUGCCGUUUCUUUCGUCUUUGUGUUUAAGUUCCAGACGUUCAAAAAAAAGUUGCAAAACCCAAAUAUUCCACAAAGAUUUCUCGUUUGAGUCUUAAGUGUUUGUAGUGUUUUUUUUGCUUCCUAUUGUUUCUUUUGUUUUUUGUUCUUUGCUUUUAAAAGAAACCCAAAAAGAUUUCUUUGUCCUUUUGUAGUUUUGUUCUUUUGAAGUUCUUUGAGAAAAUAAUAAUAUAUUUCUUUGUUCUUUUUGCAUUUCCUUUGGAUGUUUAUUUGAUUUCCUCUUUGUUGAAACUUUGGAAAUCUUUUAUCUUUGCUUCUCUUUGCAUUCUUGUUUGCCUUAUUUGAGAAAAAACAAAAAUUCCAAAAUUAUUUCUGUUGUGUUUCUCUGAGUUCUUUGCCUUUUAUGUUUCAGAAAAUCCAAAAAUAUUUCUCUUUCGUUGUUCUUUUGUUUUCCUUUGUUUUUUUUGGCUUUUUCUGUUGUUUUCUUUUUGUGGUUUCUUUCGUCUUUGCGUUUAUAUAAGUUGUACAAGUUAAAAAUUCCAAAAAGAUUUCUCGUCUUAAGUGUUGAAGUGAACGAAUUUUUGAUUGGCUCUUAUGUGCUUUAUUUUUGAACUAAUGAAAAGACCAAAAAUAUUUCCCUUGUCUUCUCUUUUGUACAAAUUGUCCAGUAGUAAAACCUGCAAAACCUAUCGACGAAGAACCACAACUGAAGAGGUUGACGAAGAAGCACAAGGCUAUGAAUAAAAACUAAAAGAAGUAGGCGUCAAAGUCGUGUAAUCCCUGUUCCUCCUCGAUCCGGUUUGGCGUCCUUCCCUGGUUGCAGGUUUUGUGCCACGGACUUGAUGUUGCAUCCCAUGUUCCCUUUGGUGGCCCUUGGCCCCGGUGGCAGGUAGCGUCGUGCACACAUCCUGUAGGUUAGCUAAUGUUGAGGAAAUCGUUAACUGGUAACUGCUCGCUCAACUUGGGAGUAGUGAUAACCGUUGAAUCGGUUUAUUAACUGGAUUAAUCGGUCAACCACUAAUUGAUGGAAUUUUCAACUUAAUAGAAGCAAAUUUUGUAUGGAGGGAAAAUCUACAUUGCAAAUAGGAGGCAAAUGGCACCAUUUUCUUUUCUCAAUAGAUCACAAACAUGUAUACAGCAACAAUCAUCCAUGUGGGCAUCAAAAGUCGUCAACAAACAUGUAUACAACAACAUUUUUUGCUAAUUUCUGCUCGUGUCGCAACUCUGAGAGAUGGUGGCCACACGAUGACGACAGAUAGAGGGAAGGUGACGGCCUCCGCGCUCGGCAUCUGACGGAUCGGUUGCCGGAGGUGGUAGGUCAUGAAGGAGGGGAAGUAGCGGCGUGUAGAGGGAGAAGAGGAAGCGGCGACACACAGAGGAGAAGGGGAAGUGGCAGCACGCCGACGAGGACCUGGUCAGUCGCCAUCUAGGUCGGGAGGGGAUGAGAGGAGCAGGAGGGGUUCUAAACCCUAGCUAUAUAGGAGCGGGAGGGUUUAUGGGCCAAAUAAUUAGGCUUUGUUUGCCCACAAGUUAACAGGCGGCAGUGAUUAGACAUUGCGGUGAAUGUGUUAUUCGAGUCGGACACGCGAUUAACUGGCCAAUUAACUGAUUAAUCGGGUGAAUUCUUGAACAGUUGGUUAGACAUUGCGGUGCUGACUGCCCUUACUCAUGCUUCGCCGAUAGGUGGUGCUUGAGCAUUCGACUAUGGCGCCCACCAGGGGAACACGGGUUGUGGGAUCGAGACAACGACAGAGCAACUCGUAGCCAGACAAAGGAUGCUCAACCGGACUGACAGGGAGCGGAGUGUGCACGAGGGACGUGGUGGAGGGGUGAAAAAGCCGUCGGGAGUGGACCACCGCCGCCAUUUAGCUUUUGGACCUCGAGUUGAGCGGUGAGGGGGUGGUGACAGGGGAAGCAAGGAAGGUCGGAAGAGGGCACCGAGAGGAGAAAGGCAUCGUCCACCCUACGCUUGCGCGUUAGUCGCGACGGCGGGCGGUUGUGGGCAGAUCCGGUGUCUGCACGUGGAUCAUCUACUAUUCGGGAUGACAUGACAUGCUUGUUGAGUGAGGUGUCACGACUAUUGGGCCGUGUUGGUGGGUUUGGAGAGUCUGUGUUGUGCUCUGGUUAAGCCUUCAUGAAGAAACGGACCAAGUGUAAAUCAAAAGGUACAUAUUGAAGAGUAAUAAUAUGAUCCUGCACUCUGGAGUGCACGAAUGCACGAACGAGGCAUCAACAUUAAUAUGCUUGGUGAGCUCAUGCUUCAUAUGGUGAGGUGCAAUCCUAAUAGCACAUAUACUGUAUGGUGUGACAAGAGAAGAGUAAUGUAGUGAUAGAAACACCAAAAUCCUCAAGGUCGUUAAUGAACGACACCGGGUUUGGAGAGAGGGGGAAGCCGUGUGUUGUGCUCUGUCCGAGUCUUUGUGAAGAAACGGACCAAGUGUAAAUCGAAAGGCACAUACUAAAGAGCAAUUAUCUGGUCCUGCACAUUGGAGCACACGAAGGACGCAUCAACACCAAUAUGCUUGGUGAGUUCAUGCUUCACAGGGUCGUGCGCAACACUGAUAGCAUUUGUACUGUCUGACAAGGAAGGCGUAGGUCUAGUGACAAAAACACCAAAAUCCUCAAGCAACCGUCAUAACCAAGCCACCUCUGUUGUCAACAGAGUUAUAGCUUGCAACUCAGCGUCUGCACUCAAAAGGGAAAAGCGUAGUCUGUUUCUUUGUCUUCCGGGCAAUGAGAAAACCAUCAAGAAAAACACAGUAAGUAGAAAGGGACGAGCGAACUUGAGCAUAGGAUUAAGAGAGAGACGGGGAGAGGUAGUUCCACAAAGAUAUCGUAGAACAGGGGGGUGGGGAGGUGACUCAAGUGGAUGAAAGUGGGAGCAGAGACAAACUGACUUAGAAUGAGAAUGUGAUAUGAAAUGUCUGGACGAGUGACAUCUAAAUAGACAAGACUCCCAACAAGAUGACGGCAGCGCGUCAGAUACAACAAAGGCUCAUUAUCGGAAGCACAAAGGUGGACGUUGAGCUCCAUUGGAGUGUCAACAGUGACCUUAUCACUAAGAUCAUCACAAGUAAGAAGAUACUGAAUGUACUUCUCUUUGGGAAAUAAAGAAGCCAUCAGAGGCAGAAGAAACCUCAAUUCCAAGGAAGUAGCGAAGAGGACCAAUAUCAAACAUAAAAACUAUUCACUAAGACGAGCCUUCAAAAAGGCAAAUGCACUUAGAGUUGUUGGCAGUGAUGGUCAUGUCAUCGACAUAUAGAAGCAGUGUUCGACCUUGAGCUGAAAGAUGGAUAUACAGUGUAGAUCAUGAGCAUUUGGCAAAAACUAGUCGCAGUCAUUGCUGAAACAGAACACUCAAAUCGGACGAUACGGGCUAAAGGCAUAGAGAUAGCGACGAAGACGCCGGAUCGUGCCAUCAAGAAAAAGAUAUCUAGGUGGUGGCUACAUGUAGACCUUCUCAUGCAACUCAUAAUUAAAAAAGACAUUCUAACCUAUAAGGAUGCUAGCCGACGCUCCUCCAUGGAGCUCCUCCCGUGCGCAUCGUUCGUGGCCAUCGGAUGGGCUUUGAUUUCCUAUACUGACCAUUGGAUCAGUUGACCGCGUGGUAAUAAGCGUGACCAGUGAUUGUUUUUCACGUCUGGAUGACUUGUGGCCCUUGUUUGGGUGAGGUUUGGCUGGUCCUUCGCGGGUGAAUUGGAUUGCUAGUGAAAGUUAACCUGUCCGGUUGCUACGCGUGGUGGUUGAGGAAAGGCGGAAACAACGGGAAGUGCGACCAUGUCGAACUGCUUGUCUUCUUGCAUGCGCGCCCUAAGAUUCUUUUUCCCCCAAUCCCCACAGCCGCCUCCCUCCCACACCCUUCCUCCUCCUUCCUCGCUCGUCAGCCGCCACAGCUGCCGCACUCCUCCUCCAUCUCUUUCCUCCCGCGUCCUCCUGCGUGGGACGCCGCUAGGCUCCUCCCUCUCUCGUCCCAGCCUGACGCAGGCGGAUCCAUGGGUAGAAGAGAGGAAUAAGGGAGGUAGAGGAACGACGGGGAAGGGGAUGGGCAAGAGCUUCAUGCCCCGAAUCCAGUUGGCCCGGGCCGUGCCUACAUGAGCAGCGCCGCGGCUCGAUGCUUCCCCACCCGACGAAGACGGCAAGCUAGGUGUUGACAAUGGCAGCCCCAGGCCAUCUGAUCUGUCACCGGUGCCGUUCUUUUGGUCGAGACCGCCGUCGUCCACGUGCUCCUCCUCACCCCCACGGCUGGACGCUGGCGAGGCCAGCCUCCCCUCCAAGCGCAGGUACUUCCCCGCUCCUUUCCGUGUUCUCUCUCUCUUCCCCUGAUAUAUCUCUCUGUUGUACACGGAAGCAAAUUUGUUCAAUUCUCAGUCUAGAUUUAAUGAAGAAAACUGCGGUUCAUAAAACGCCAAUUAUGGAUAUGGAUCCAUCUUGCUGCGCUGGAUGAAGGGCUGGAUAUGGAUCCAUCUUGCUGAUUUGGAAGAAAACUGCAGUUCAUACAAUGCUAAUUAUGGAUAUGGAUCCAUCUAAUACAGUUCUUCACAAAGCCCAGGAAUCGCAAGGGUUCAAUUGCUUUCGGGGUCGUACUUUUCUUGGUCCUUAUUGGUUGGCCUGUCUUCGGCAUGAUGGCGGACUCGUAUGGCUUUGCCCUGCUAUUCUGGUUAUCCUCUAUUGUGCAUUAAUAUGAUCAUCUGAUGUCUGUUUUUCAGUGUGCAUUAAGAAAUGGUAGAAACUUUUGGGUAUUGUAUCUGACUGGUACUGAAUUUCCUCACAACAGCUUCUAGCCCGCUGCUGCUGUUUACCUGCAAAAAAAAAAAAAAAAAACCCCACCAUCGGUUGGAUUUUCCAGCACCCUUAUGUGAUAUCGGUAAGAUCAUACUUGGGGCUUUGCUGUCGCUGAGCUUCCUAAAUUUUCUUCAAGUCCAACCCAGUCUGGUCGCCACUUUAUUUACAUGGUCUUGUUCUUGCGAGGGAUUAUUUUUAUCACGAUUGAUGAACUAUAUGACUGGGGAUCCCAGCCCCCAUUAUUCUUACUGCUGUUUCCUACUUCUGUAAUUAACCUUUACUAAGUACUGUUAGGUCUUUAGCAUAACACUAAAUAGUUAAGCUAAUAAGGAUACCACUAGAUGACUGACCCUGUAAUUAACCUUAUUCAGUUUAUGAACAUAUAUGUACGCUACAGAGCAUGAAAUUGGGAAAAUACAAAUAUAAUUGGUGGUUGGUUCACCAUUUAAAAUUUUGAUCCACCAAUUGUGUCUCAGUGAUUUCUACUUGAGCUAAGACCAUGCCAAUAAUUUUGGAACGAGGGAGUACUUAUUUGUUGUUGUGUAUUUGAUGGUUUGAUAAAAAUAUCAUGAAGGUUAAAUCGAGCGUGGUUUUGAUAUAUUUUUGUUACAAGAUAUUACAUCGGCUUUCUGGUUUGGAAAUACUUAUAAUCGAUUUCUUCUAACUGCAUGUGAGCCCACACUUUUGUAGACUACUUAGGAUAGAGAUGAUAUGAAUGUGUGCAACAAAGUUCUUUACUCGGGAAUGGCUUGGUAGGUCUCUCGACUAUUCGGUUUCAUCUGUAGGAUUAAAAUUUCUUCAACUUGCUCUCCUCCCACCUUCAAUUUCUUUAAAAUCGUUGUAUUGGCAAGUAGAAACAGUAGCUUGUUUGAAUUAUGUAAAGUUCAUCCAUGUAACAGUUGCCUCUUAAAGACUGCUUACAAAGUGCAAAUUUGAUAUAAUUUUGCUGAUGACGCAAAAUGAUCGUACACUGAAACUGAAGCCUUUGGAAAUUGAAACACAAACCUUACUUAAGAGCAGGCAAAGGUGCAGAGCCAACGGCAUGCUCUUGGAUCAAUAUUCUACAGGUUAAACAACAUUCAUAUGUUCUAGCAUCUUUAGAUUUACAUUUUCUUUUUAACAGUCUAAUUACUCCAUGUAAAAACUGCAUCCAUUUUGGUAUGUGAUACUGCAAGUGUAAAUUAAGAAAGUAGCCUUUACGGUCUAGAUUCAGCAUCUGUAAAUCAUGGAUAUGUACAUACUACAUAAAAAUGGAGCAUCCUUACUCGAUUGCAUUCUUCUGUUUUACAGGUGAUGUUGUUGCCUGCUCUUCUAAACUGCCGCUUGUUUAUCAUUUGCUGUUUUGCUUAUCAAGGAGGGUAACUACUGGAAGCAGUUGGCAAGGCAAGCAUUCAAUGGAUCUCAAAGCGUUGAUCCUGAAGGAAGGUAACUACUCAAAGGUAUGCACAUAUUCAUGUUGGAGCAGUUAAGUUUGCAAGGAUCUGCUGUUGGAGGGCAUGGUAUGUGCUCUCAAGAAGUUCUUUAUGAUCCGGUGACAUCUUUUGGCCUAUUGAGGAACUGGACAUGAUUUAUAUAGCGAAGUUAAGUGUAUGGAUGACAACUUCCUCUCAUACCUCUUUUGGCCUAUUGAGGAACUGGACAUGAUUUAUAUAGCGAAGUUAAGUGUAUGGAUGACUACUUCCUCUGAUACAUGUUAUCUGUAUAUUUUAUAUACAUGGCUUUUGUGUUCUGUCA